rnacentral:rRNA from 1 species
GACGAACGCUCGCGGUGCGCCUAAUACAUGCAAGUUGAGCGCUGAAGGUUGGUACUUGUACCCACUGGAUGAGCAGCGAAAGGGUGCGUAACGCGUGGGGAACCUGCCUUCGAGCGGGGGACACAAUCUGGAAACGAAUGAUAAUACCGCAUAAAAACUUUAAACACAAGUUCUCAGAUUGAAAGAUGCAAUUGCAUUACCCACAGAUGAUCCCGCGUUGUAUUAGCUAGUUGGUGAGGCAAAGGCUCACCAAGGCGAGGAUACAUAGCCGACCUGAGAGGGUGAGCGGCCACAGUGGGACUGAGACGCGGCCCAAACCCGUGCGGGAGGCAGCAGGAGGGAAUCGUCGGCAAUGGACGGAAGGUGGACCGAGCGACACCGCGGGGGAGAAGAAGGUUUUCGGGUCGUAAGACUCAGUUAGUAGAGAAUGACGGUGAGGAAAGUAGAAAGCUCGGCAAGUGACGGUAACUACCCAGAAAGAGACGGCGAACUACGUG